rnacentral:lncRNA from 1 species
AUAGAUUUCCGGUAAUUGUCCUGCAUAAAACCCCAUGGGAAAGAACAUUGACAUAAUUUUCCAAACGUUUAUUGGAACCCAAUAAUUUGUCAAGAUGUUGCAACCUGUAAUGUAAAGACGUAACAGCAGAAUGCAUUGAGUGUGUAGGCAAAGGUAGUAUCCUUGGUUAGCUUGCUCGCAUUAUUAGGCUAGGUAAACUACCCUCGAUUAAGAGUAGACUAGUCCGACAGAUAACCAAUAAAUAUGUCUGUAGGACUAUGCUACUUCUAUCAGGAAAGUCGCCUCCCAAAAUAUCAAUAUAAUAAUAAUAAUGCUACUUCUACAGGAGAGUAGUAUACCUUACCUUAUAAUCAAUUCACGGUUCAGCUAACAAGCAAGCUAACCAAAGAUAUUACCUUU